rnacentral:rRNA from 1 species
AGCGAACGCUGGCGGCAGGCCUAACACAUGCAAGUCGAACGGGCUCUUCGGAGCUAGUGGCGGACGGGUGAGUAACACGUGGGAACGUGCCUUUAGGUUCGGAAUAAGCCCGGGAAACUGGGUCUAAUACCGAAUGUGCCCUUCGGGGGAAAGAUUUAUCGCCUUUAGAGCGGCCCGCGUCUGAUUAGCUUGUUGGUGAGGUAAUGGCUCACCAAGGCGACGAUCAGUAGCUGGUCUGAGAGGAUGACCAGCCACAUUGGGACUGAGACACGGCCCAAACUCCUACGGGAGGCAGCAGUGGGGAAUCUUGCGCAAUGGGCGAAAGCUUGACGCAGCCAUGCCGCGUGAAUGAUGAAGGUCUUAGGAUUGUAAAAUUCUUUUACCAGGGACGAUAAUGACGGUACCUGGAGAAAAAGCCCCGGCUAACUUCGUGCCAGCAGCCGCAGUAAUAC